ACGGAGGGUGCAAGCGUUAUUCGGAAUUACUGGGCGUAAAGGGCGUGCAGGCGGGAGAGCAAGUUUUCUGUUAAAGGCCGGGGCUUAACCCCGGAAGGGCAUUGGAAACUGCUUUUCUUGAGUUCUGGAGAGGAAGGGAGAAUUCCCGGUGUAGAGGUGAAAUUCGUAGAGAUCGGGAGGAACACCGAUGGCGAAGGCGCCCUUCUAGACCGCAACUGACGCUGAGCCGCGAAAGUGUGGGGAGCAAACAG
rnacentral:rRNA from 1 species